rnacentral:misc_RNA from 1 species
UUUCCGUAGGUGAACCUGCGGAAGGAUCAUUAAAGAAUUUGCCCCGUCCUCUCGCGGAUGGGUCCUCUUCUAAACCGUGUAUACAUACCUUUGUUGCUUUGGCGGGCCGCCGUCUCGGCGUUGGCUUCGGCUGACUGUGCCCGCCAGAGAACCCCAACUCUUCUGUUUAGUAUUGUCUGAGUACUAUAUAAUAGUUAAAACUUUCAACAACGGAUCUCUUGGUUCUG